rnacentral:rRNA from 1 species
AGACUCCUACGGGAGGCAGCAGUGGGGAAUCUUGGGCAAUGGGCGGAAGCCUGACCCAGCGACGCCGCGUGGGGGAGGAGGGCCUUCGGGUUGUAAACCCCGUUAGGGUGGGAGGAAGGGAUGACGUUACCACACGAAAGCCCCGCCUAACUACGUGCCGGCAGCCGCGUUAGGACGUAGGGGGCGAGCGUUGUCCGGAAUUACUGGGCGUAAAGGGCGCGUGGCCGGUCAAUAAGUCAGGUGGAAAAGACCCGG